rnacentral:lncRNA from 1 species
GAAGUACAAGCUCUAGUCUGUCUGGUCGAUCACUGCUUGUCUUUUUGACUAUGCAAGGUCUCUUCCGGUGCUGCUUUGGAGCCGCCGGGCUUUGGUGAUAGACUCUGUGUCACGAACAGAGACUCAACAGUGAUGAUCGCCGAAAUCAGCGGCAGUAUUGCUGAGAACAAUAAACAAUUUAUGUAGCAUUUGAUUAAUGAUAAAAAUCAUCAAUGCAGAAUAUUCUAAAAAUAUUUCUUGCCAUGACAACAACAAGCAGACAUGACCGUCAACAAUACAGCCUAAGAAAAUCUGAUCACAUACAGAACUGCACUCCUGUACAAGACAAAUGUGUCGUACUGUCAUACAUGACAAUUGAUAACAAGAUUCAGUUAAACCCAUGACAAUUGCAUGAUCACAUUAUCACAUAUGAGCUAGAGAAGUAGUGGCAAUCGAGCUUCAGAAAAUCCUAACAUGGAAUACAUCGUACAUUUAUCUGUAUGUAGCUAAUGAUUCUGUCUGCCAACAUUUAACAAACAUAAGAUUUAAGCAAAGAAGCAUCAGCUACAUACAGAUAAAUAUGUGAUGUAUUACAUGUUAAGAAUUUCUGAAUAUAUGGUUGAAGAAUAAAUAUGUUAACUGAUUGCGACUACUUCUCUAUCUCAUAUAGACAUUUAGCAUAAUGUAGGCCUCCUUGAAAGGAGCAAAUCAACCAGUUUUAGGGUGAAAGUGAAACACUUGUCCUCGAUAGUUAAGCCAAUGCAAAUCAAUACCAAUCCUCUAUUAUGGGAACAUUGAGAUUGAUUAACUAAUGACUGGCACCAAGUAAAUGUCAUGGCUUCCUAGAAAAAGGAAAAGCGAAAGGAAACACAUCAACAUUACGAAUUAGGUUUAUGCCAGUUCAACCGAAACAGCGAAGAUAUACAGCCAGAAAGAGGGUCACUGUACCUCAUUGCAAUUGAAAUAAUUCUUAAGUCGAAUCUGCUAGUAACCACGAGUUGCUCCAAAGUGCACAAAACAAGAAAAUUAAAUUACUCAUAUAGCCUACUGAAUAAUUAUAUUGGCCAUGCAGUA